rnacentral:rRNA from 1 species
GACGGGGGGGGCAAGUGUUCUUCGGAAUGACUGGGCGUAAAGGGCCCGUAGGCGGUGAAUCGGGUUGAAGGUGAAAGUCGCCAAAAAGUGGCGGAAUGCUCUCGAAACCAAUUCACUUGAGUGAGACAGAGGAGAGUGGAAUUUCGUGUGUAGGGGUGAAAUUCGUAGAUAUUCGCAAGAACACCAGUGGCGAAGGCGGCUCACUGGCCCGAUACUGACGCUGAGGCACGAAAGCGUGGGGAGCAAACAGG